rnacentral:misc_RNA from 1 species
GAAAUGCGGUAAGUAGUGUGAAUUGCAGAAUUCAGUGAAUCAUCGAAUCUUUGAACGCACAUUGCGCCCUUUGGUAUUCCUUAGGGCAUGCCUGUUCGAGCGUCAUCUAAACCUUCAAGCCCUGCUUGGUGUUGGGUGUCUGUCCCGCCUCCGCGCGCGGACUCACCUCAAAUCCAUUGGCGGCCCCCGCGUCGGCCACGAGCGCAGCAGAAACGCGAACUCGUGAGCCCGUCCGGGCGGCUCCCAGAAGCUACACCCACCCAGUUUGACCUCGGAUCAGGUAGGGAUACCCGCUGAACUUAAGC